rnacentral:rRNA from 1 species
CGCCCUUAGAGUUUGAUCCUGGCUCAGAUUGAACGCUGGCGGCAUGCCUUACACAUGCAAGUCGAACGGCAGCGGGAGCAAUCCUGGGCGAGUGGCGAACGGGUGAGUAAUACAUCGGAACGUGCCCAAUCGUGGGGGAUAACGCAGCGAAAGCUGUGCUAAUACCGCAUACGAUCUACGGAUGAAAGCAGAUCGUUGCGCGAAUGGAGCGGCCGAUGGCAGAUUAGGUAGUUGGUGAGGUAAAGGCUCACCAAGCCUUCGAUCUGUAGCUGGUCUGAGAGGACGACCAGCCACACUGGGACUGAGACACGGCCCAGACUCCUACGGGAGGCAGCAGUGGGGAAUUUUGGACAAUGGGCGCAAGCCUGAUCCAGCCAUGCCGCGUGCAGGAUGAAGGCCUUCGGGUUGUAAACUGCUUUUGUACGGAACGAAACGGCCUUUUUAAUAGAGGGCUAUGACGGUACCGUAAGAAUAAGCACCGGCUAACUACGUGCCAGCAGCCGCGGUAAUACGUAGGGUGCAAGCGUUAAUCGGAAUUACUGGGCGUAAAGCGUGCGCAGGCGGUGAUGUAAGACAGUUGUGAAAUCCCCGGGCUCAACCUGGGAACUGCAUCUGUGACUGCAUCGCUGGAGUACGGCAGAGGGGAUGGAAUUCCGCGUGUAGCAGUGAAAUGCGUAGAUAUGCGGAGGAACACCGAUGGCGAAGGCAAUCCCCUGGGCCUUACUGACGCUCAUGCACGAAAGCGUGGGGAGCAAACAGGAUUAGAUACCCUGGUAGUCCACGCCCUAAACGAUGUCAACUGGUUGUUGGGUCUUCACUGACUCAGUAACGAAGCUAACGCGUGAAGUUGACCGCCU